AUUGAACGCUGGCGGCAUGAUUUACACAUGCAAGUCGAACGGUAACAGGCCGCAAGGUGCUGACGAGUGGCGAACGGGUGAGUAAUGCAUCGGAACGUGCCCAGCCGUGGGGGAUAACUACUCGAAAGAGUAGCUAAUACCGCAUACGAUCUAUGGAUGAAGGCGGGGGACCGUAAGGCCUCGCGCGAUUGGAGCGGCCGAUGUCAGAUUAGGUAGUUGGUGGGGUUAAGGCUCACCAAGCCAAAGAUCUGUAGCUGGUCUGAGAGGACGACCAGCCACACUGGGAGUGAGACACGGCCCAGACUACUACGGGAGGCAGCAGUGGGGAAUUUUGGACAAUGGGCGCAAGCCUGAUCCAGCAAUGCCGCGUGCAGGAAGAAGGCCUUCGGGUUGUAAACUGCUUUUGUACGGAACGAAACGGCUCUGGUUAAUACCCGGGGCUAAUGACGGUACCGGAAAAAUAAGCACCGGCUAACUACGUG
rnacentral:rRNA from 1 species